AGAAUUUCCUUCGGGAAAGUACUGAGUCAGAACACUAAUAAGCUUUUUCCUUCCUUCCUUCUCAUUUGAUAUGCUACGCUCAUGCCUUCUUGUUGAGAAGAAUUGAUAGGAUAGGUUAGGACAGGAUAGGAAUGGCUUUUCAAGGGUGGUAAUUCUCUGACUAGCAUUCUUUGUUGCUACUCCACAACCCAGAGAAUGUAACGCAGGUGCUAGCACAUAAUUGCCAGCACCUCACUGUCAGAGGAGUGGAGAAUUUGUGAGUGAAACAGAGAAAUGAGUGCAUUAACUGCACACAGAGGCAAAUCUACUGAAGCAGGUUUUUCACAAUGUUAAUCAGCAGAACAUAGGCUUCAUAUUUUUUUUUAAAUCUCAAAUAACAUUAACAGUGUCCUCAAAGAUAACUGAAAAGUGAUCAUUUUCUCUGAGCUGCUUCCUCAUGUGGAAAUGAACCCCACACUGUCCACUAUCAACUAGACAAAAAUCCACAAGAGUCAGUGGGCUACAUUUUCUUUCAGGACAAGACUUACUAGAAAAAAAUUCUCCCUUAUUUCCUUUCCCUGUGCCCCAUGCCAGGAUCACACUCAUGUUACUUUAUAAGUAGCCAUCUGGUGAAGAGCAAUCUCUUCGUUCUUGGCAAAUUAUCCACAGCUGAGCUUCGGUUGUUUGCUGCAACUUUUUUUUUGCUCUGCCCCUUUGAAAUAGGAGUCUUCCCCAGCAUGACCUUUCUUGUUUCAGGAGACAUUUUACAUUCCCGAUAAGCCUGGAUAAUGCUUUCUUGGAAGGUACAGGCUGUUGCUGUUUCUCUUGUAUAUGGAGCACUAGGAGCUACAGUGAUUGAUGACAUCUCAACUUACUAUCCUUCUUCAGCCCAGGAAGAACGUAGCACUGAGAUAAUUGACCCAUCAUUUCAGAGAAACGUGUAGGAAAGUCCAGCAGACAGAAGACACUUUGCAUCUGAUUAUAAUCUCUCACAGAAAUUCUUUUCUGGUGGAGCUGUGCUGAUGUGAUGGUAAGCUUAAAUGGGUGCUUGUUUUGCUCAAAGACUAAAGAAGCCACUUUUCUGCUCUGAAGUUCUCCUGUGAACUUUUAACCAAGAAACCAGCCUUUCUGCACAUUCCACAAGGCAUCAGAAACACAGGGACAAUAAAAUCACAGCUAAGUGCAGCAUUUUCAUCAUGUGAUAUUUCUGAUCCUUUCCUGGAACUGAGGAAAAAGAAGAAGCUGGUGGAACACUGCACUUGCAAUACAACAACAAAAAAGAACGAAGUGUGAAAAAGAAACGUUUGAAGACAAGACCAGAAGACACAAAGAAAAUACUUUUGAAAUUUAAAGAAAAGUGAACAUCUUUGCAUGCUUUAGCUACACAGCUGGCACUUAAGUGUGCUUGGAAAAUUUUCAGCAGAUCAGAAUUUUGUUAGAAACCUCCGUACAGCUUUCAGCAUCCAAGAUACCCAGGCUCUUGAAAUGAUUUGGAUUUGACAGACUUCAGAAACCUCAAAGGAAGAAGAAAAAAAUACAAAACAAUCAAAAGCCCAAAAAAAUCCACUGGAGAGCAAAGAUGACAGACCUAGAGGCUGCUCAGUGUUACUGGGAAAAGCGUGGGAAGGGAAGAACCCUUUAUGCUAUCAAAGCAGGAGAGAAGAUGAGGCAGGACUCUGCAAAAUUUGAGCUGAUGCUGCUGGUGCUCUUGUGGGAGAUAUCUUCAGUGAAGGUGUAUUGCUGGGAAGUAAAAGUAGUACAUCUAUGGAUUCCCACCAUUUUUCAGUGUGCUGCGAGAACAUCUGCUAGUACUCAUCAAACUCCUCUGUGGUUGGUUACCCCCAUUUAACAGGUUGAAGAAAUUAGACAGGUUAAAGGACUUGUCCAAGACCACACGGGGAAGAGGAUGACAGUGUAGGUAUUAGAAUCAUAAUUUCCUGUCUCUACUUACAAUCACUUUGCAUCAAGGAGAAGGCAUUUUUUUCUUACCUAGCUCUUUGGUUAUUUGACGUUUCCUCUCUCUUACUCUUGUUCCAUCUCAACUAUAAUAUAAUUGGAAAAAAAAAACCCUCCCUUUUAGUAUGCAUCUUUGAGUUUAAUCUGUGAUGCCAAACAGAUGAAAUAAAUGUUGUCACAACUCCAGAAA